rnacentral:rRNA from 1 species
UACGGAGGGGGCAAGCGUUGUUCGGAUUUACUGGGCGUAAAGGGUGUGUAGGCGGUUGCGUAAGUCUGGUGUGAAAUCUUCACCGCUUAACGGGAAGAGGUCACUGGAAACUGCGUAACUCGAGUAUGGUAGAGGCAAGCGGAAUUCCUGGUGUAGCGGUGGAAUGUGUAGAUAUCAGGAAGAACAUCUGUGGCGAAGGCGGCUUGCUGGGCCAUCACUGACGCUGAGACACGAAAGCGUGGGGAGCGAACGGGAUUAGAUACCCCGGUAGUCCACGCUGUAAACGGUGCGCACUAGGUGUGAGGGGUAUCGACCCCCCUUGUGCCGAAGUUAACACAUUAAGUGCGCCGCCUGGGGAGUACGGCCGCAAGGUUGAA